AACAAGGCGAUGGAGUUCGCCUGAACCGCUCGUUUCGAGCUGAUGACUCCUACCAGA
rnacentral:ncRNA from 1 species